UGUUGCUGAAACUUAGGGCUGAAGGCUAACCACCUGUUUCUUUCGCUUGCCUGAGUAAUUGAAUAGAUUGGGAACUGCAACCAGUAUUCCUUGAGUGAUAAUCACAUUCCUAGUGUUGUUCCAGGUGUGAGAGUAUUUUCAGAAGAGGACUAAAUGGAUAUGGCCACUGUGCUAAAUUAAGUUACAAAGGCUGCAGUUCUGUGAGAAGUAACAUACCUUUUGGGACUCUUGACGUCUUUUCAGCCUAACACUGUCCUGGACCAGAGCAGACAUUCAAUACAUAAGUUUGUAAUGAAUGAAUCCUCUAGGGAUACAUACAUGGUGUCCCUCCAAAAUGUAUACACACUUUAACAAUUUUGAAAAUGAAAUGUAUCUUAAUGAA